UACGAAGGGGGCGAGCGUUGUUCGGAUUUACUGGGCGUAAAGGGUGCGUAGGCGGCCUGAUCAGUCGGGGGUGAAAGCCUGUGGCUCAACCACAGAAUGGCCUUCGAUACUGUCGGGCUUGAGACCGGAAGAGGUAAGUGGAACUGCGAGUGUAGAGGUGAAAUUCGUAGAUAUUCGCAAGAACACCAGUGGCGAAGGCGGCUUACUGGUCCGGAUCUGACGCUGAGGCGCGAAAGCGUGGGGAGCAAACAGG
rnacentral:rRNA from 1 species